AUUUCCAUUUGUCUCUUUCUACCUGCCCAUUCAGUCAUUGCAAUAUAAUUUUUGUUUCGAUGGAACACAGUCGUCUUUAAGAGUCUAGCCAAGUUGAGGUCGGAUAAGCGAGACUUUACCUGUUCAACGUAGCCGUGUUAUAUCAACGUGAAUUUCGUAUCAUGAGUUAGUUGUCUGGAAACAAACUCUUUGAGAGUUCAGUUAUACUUGUGGCUUUGUGAUGGCCACUAGCUAGUCUCGAGCUCGAAUGACAUCUCGCUAUGACGAGCGAAUUUAAAAAGAUGUAACAAUACAGUGGUUUAAGUGAAAAAUACAGUGUUACGAUCUCAACAAAAUGUGUUUAAUAUAGUAUUGAUCAUCAAUAUAACAUUUGUUAAGCUGGUAGAGCAACAGGUGGAAAGUUAGGACCAGCUAUAAUCAAUAUCCGGAGCGCUAUUCAUGUGCAAACUUUUGUAUUUUGUACGUCAUAGUUAACAUCCGUAUCCUGUAAAGGACUAAUAAGAUAAGGCAUCGGUUUUUACACUUAGCUUGUUCUGUGAACAAAGGACUGGGUUUACUCAAAAUGUAUUCAUUAUAUUUUUAUACAUUUAAAUUUUACUUAUUACCUGCCUAAAGUAUCUUCGAAUAUUUUAAACAUGCUUAUACUUUUGCAUACAUGAGGAAUAAAUACGAUAUCUAAGGUUGCAUCGUAACCUUACCAAGGUAUUAGAAACUGUUCUAUGGAUACUCAAGCGACAAUUAACUCUGCGUAAAAGACAUUUGAAUGCUAGGUAUAAGAACAAGAAUUAUUCACCUGUAUAAUAUGUGUAAAAGUAGAUUCAAUGUAUGUUUACAUCUACCAAUGAAAUGUAAUGAGCCCGCAAGGCCCCGGCUUUUUGUUUGUAUAAUUCAAUGGCUUCGCAUCGCUAUUUAACAAAGAACGCUGUUAUCGUAAAAAAUAUUCGGUAUCUUCUAUAUUAUAUAUUUAUUACGGUUGCAAAUUACGGUGUCAAAGUUAAUAAUAGAAUACUACUUUACUUUAGUUAUUUCCAUAGUAUUAUGUCCUAUGGUAUAUGUAUUGCUAUAAUAUAAUACAAUAUUUGUGCUGCAGAAGAGGGCUAUUCGCGCUAUUUAUAACCUAGGUCCUAAAGAAUCAUUGAGAGCAAAAUUCAAAGAAAUUAACAUCUUGACUGUUGCUUCUCAAUAUAUUCUUGAUAAUGUAAUGUUUGUUCAUAGGCACAUAGUGGAUUUGCCAAAAACUGUCAUAACCAUAAUGUCAACACCAGGAACAGACAUACACUUAUGAUGCCUACUACUCGACUAAGUCGACUUAGUAAGUCUUUUGUUGGGCGAUGUAUAAGCUUUUACAACAAGAUCCCAGAAAAUGUUCAAAACAAAAUUAUUACAAUUCCUUUGAAUAACAAAAGAAUUGUUAAAAAACGUUUGUGUGGGAAAGGUUACUAUAACAUAAAUUACACGAUUCAUUCUAUAACAUGAAUAUUAUAUUUCUUAAUGAUACCACAGAUUGGGAAUGGAGUGACCGCCCUCAGGCUAUUAAAUAAUAAGUUUAAUUGUAUAAUAUUAUUUUGUAAACAUAUUUAUUCGAUGAAAAAAAAGCCCGCUGAGUUUGUUGCGCCCAUUCUUCUCAGGUCUGAGGCAUUCAUUUUGGAAUGGGUGGUAGUUUUUGACUUUCGGUCAGUGAUGUCACAUCCUAUUUUGAAUAAAAAUAUUUGAAUUUGAA